rnacentral:rRNA from 1 species
UACGGAGGGGGCUAGCGUUGUUCGGAAUUACUGGGCGUAAAGCGCGUGUAGGCGGCUAAGUAAGUCGGGCGUGAAAUCCCACGGCUCAACCGUGGAAGUGCACUCGAAACUGCAUAGCUAGAGUCCUGGAGAGGAAGGUGGAAUGCUUGGUGUAGAGGUGAAAUUCGUAGAUAUCAAGCGGAACACCGGUGGCGAAGGCGGCUCUCUGGGCCUUACCUGACGCUGAGGAGCGAAAGCAUGGGGAGCGAACAGG